AGACCCGAAACCCGGUGAUCUAGCCAUGGGCAGGUUGAAGGUUGGGUAACACUAACUGGAGGACCGAACCGACUAAUGUUGAAAAAUUAGCGGAUGACCUGUGGCUGGGGGUGAAAGGCCAAUCAAACCGGGAGAUAGCUGGUUCUCCCCGAAAGCUAUUUAGGUAGCGCCUCGUGAAUUCAUCUCCGGGGGUAGAGCACUGUUUCGGCUAGGGGGCCAUCCCGGCUUACCAACCCGAUGCAAACUGCGAAUACCGGAGAAUGUUAUCACGGGAGACACACGGCGGGUGCUAACGUCCGUCGUGAAGAGGGAAACAACCCAGACCGCCAGCUAAGGUCCCAAAGUCAUGGUUAAGUGGGAAACGAUGUGGGAAGGCCCAGACAGCCAGGAUGUUGGCUUAGAAGCAGCCAUCAUUUAAAGAAAGCGUAAUAGCUCACUGGUCGAGUCGGCCUGCGCGGAAGAUGUAACGGGGCUAAACCAUGCACCGAAGCUGCGGCAGCGACGCUGAUGCGUUGUUG
rnacentral:rRNA from 1 species